rnacentral:rRNA from 1 species
AUAGUCUCGUUGGUGACCAGCGGAGGGUCAUUACCGAGUUUACAACUCCCAAACCCAAUGUGAACCAUACCAAACUGUUGCCUCGGCGGGGUCACGCCCCGGGUGCGUCGCAGCCCCGGAACCAGGCGCCCGCCGGAGGGACCAACCAAACUCUUUUCUGUAGUCCCCUCGCGGACGUUAUUUCUUACAGCUCUGAGCAAAAAUUCAAAAUGAAUCAAAACUUUCAACAACGGAUCUCUUGGUUCUGGCAUCGAUGAAGAACGCAGCGAAAUGCGAUAAGUAAUGUGAAUUGCAGAAUUCAGUGAAUCAUCGAAUCUUUGAACGCACAUUGCGCCCGCCAGUAUUCUGGCGGGCAUGCCUGUCCGAGCGUCAUUUCAACCCUCGAACCCCUCCGGGGGGUCGGCGUUGGGGACCUCGGGAGCCCCUAAGACGGGAUCCCGGCCCCGAAAUACAGUGGCGGUCUCGCCGCAGCCUCUCCUGCGCAGUAGUUUGCACAACUCGCACCGGGAGCGCGGCGCGUCCACGUCCGUAAAACACCCAACUUCUGAAAUGUUGACCUCGGAUCAGGUAGGAAUACCCGCUGAACUUAAGCAUUAAA